CACGUAGGUGGCAAGCGUUGUCCGGAAUUACUGGGUGUAAAGGGAGCGCAGGCGGAAUGGCAAGUUGAAUGUGAAAUCUACGGGCUCAACCCGUAAACUGCGUUCAAAACUGCUGUUCUUGAGUGAUGUAGAGGUAGGCGGAAUUCCCGGUGUAGCGGUGGAAUGCGUAGAUAUCGGGAGGAACACCAGUGGCGAAGGCGGCCUACUGGGCAUUUACUGACGCUGAGGCUCGAAAGUAUGGGGAGCAAACAGG
rnacentral:rRNA from 1 species